rnacentral:rRNA from 1 species
GACAGAGGAUGCAAGUGUUAUCCGGGAUGAUUGGGCGUAAAGCGUCUGUAGGUGGCUUUUAAGUCCGCCGUCAAAUCCCAGGGCUCAACCCUGGACAGGCGGUGGAAACUACCAAGCUGGAGUACGGUAGGGGCAGAGGGAAUUCCGGUGGAGCGGUGAAUGCGUAGAGAUCGGAAGAACACCAACGGCGAAAGCACUCUGCUGGCCGACACUGACACUGAGAGACGAAAGCUAGGGGAGCGAAUGGG